GACAGAGGGUGCAAACGUUGUUCGGAAUUACUGGGCGUAAAGCGUGCGUAGGUGGUGAGUUAAGUCUGAUGUGAAAUCCCCGGGCUCAACCUGGGAAUGGCAUUGGAUACUGGCUCGCUAGAGUGCGGUAGAGGGUGGUGGAAUUCCCGGUGUAGCAGUGAAAUGCGUAGAGAUCGGGAGGAACAUAUGUGGCGAAGGCGGCCACCUGGACCAACACUGACACUGAGGCACGAAAGCGUGGGGAGCAAACAGG
rnacentral:rRNA from 1 species